rnacentral:lncRNA from 11 species
UGCUACUUUUGGAUUAUAGAGGCUAAUAAAAUCCCCAUAAUCCAGCUACGACAUUUCAUUGGUUAGGGAUAGACGCGAAAGUGACCACAGGUCAUAAUUUUGAAGAAAUUCGUUUAUAAGAAAUAAUAAGUAAUGUGUUAUGGAAGACAUGACGACGAUCAGGGUGGUCCUCUCUCACGAUUCAAGAAACCUCGUUCUGGAACCGAUGUAUACACGGUACACGCGUCGUCAACGGAGCCGUCGACGUCGUGGAUGCUGCCAGAAAGAAAGUUGAUCUGAAAAUCAAACAAACAACCGACGCUGCGUUUCUGCACUUCCGUCGUCACCGUUUGUUUAUUGUCACUGAGGGAUCACUGUUUUAGAACAAGAAAAGAGAGGUGACGAAAUCUGGAUUGAAUUUCUUGAAUUAACAUCUUCGAGGGGGUAUUAGACCCACGUGAAUAACGGGGACCCUGAUGUUAAGAUCGUGAAUUAGAAAAAAAGGGCCUCACGGGUCGUCAUGGCAUGGAUGGGCCUCUGGAUUCCUCAGUGGGGGUUCCUUGGACAUUUCUUUCGUUUCUCUUACUACUCCCGACGAUCCAUUGUUAUUGCUCCUCCUCACUGUCAAAAACGAAAUUGGAGAAUAUUGGGUCUGGUGAAUUCGUCCAGGAGAUUCUAAAGCACGAUUUAAGAGGUCAAAUCUAAACGAUCCUAGUUCUUGGAAGGAGAGAGCCAUCAGGACACGCGACACUUCCCGACUCAGAGGAAGCGUGUCUUUUUUAUUUUUUUUUGUACAUGGAACCCCAUGGUUACGAACCACUGAAAUCAUAUUGAUGAUAGAUUCAUCGUUAUUAUUUCAACAGAUUUUAUACAUGUUAUCAACUAUUAUAAUUUGUAAAAAUUGAAAAAAAAUUAAUUUUUUUAGAAUAAAUUUUAUGAUAUAGUUAUUGAUAAAUAGAUAUAAAAUAAAUUUAAUAUCUUAAACAGAUGUUAUAGAUAUAUUGACAUGAUCCUUGAAAAAAAGGAAGAUAUUCUAUCUGCGUUCAUUU